rnacentral:misc_RNA from 1 species
UCAAUUUACAGCGGACUUCGGUCCUGUCUGCACCCUUGUCUUUUGCGUACUGUAUGUUUCCUUGGUAGGCUUGCCUGCCAAUAGGACAUUCAUAAACUCUUUUGUAAUUGCAAUCAGCGUCAGAAUAACUAUAAUAGUUA